UCUAAUCAUGAUUGUGACGUAUGCUCGGAUGGGGGCCAAUGGGUGCGCGAGAUCAUCGCGUUGACAUCCGGGGAGGGCUGAAAACUGAGCAGUCAGGCCCCGCCCCUGGUCUACUUUGGCCCUCAACGGUUUUCAUUCACUGCCGCCGUACGAGAAAACAUUCCGGUGUGCGUUUGGAGUUUUCUACUCUUUUUAAAGCGAUCUGAUGUCCCUUGUGCCAUGGUCUUCAGGUCAAGUUGAUCUGUUCUCAACCCCAGAAGAUAUGAAUGAAGAGAAACCUUCAGGAUUGGGCGCUGUGGCUGAGUUGUCAGCCUGGUGCUCACGCUCAGAGUGGGCAAUGUCAUCUCCUGGUGAAGUCUUUCCCGCAUCAAACUUUGUGACUGUGCUGCUGUCCCCAAACUUUCCUGACCUUCAAAAAACCCAUACAGUAUGUAAGACGGGCAUUGAAAAGCUAUGGCACACAGGCAAAUCACCACUGGAUAACAAGGUAGUUACCAGAGUACCUGCAGCAAAGUGUUUGCGUCAGGCCACACCAGUGCGGAACAAAUUCCAUGCCAGCAACAGCGAGUGAUGAGCUGCAUGAUGAAGCAUUCAGAGCGGCGACAAGCGGAAAGAUCAUAAAUUGGCUCGACUCUGUCUAUAUAUGUCGCCUGGCUGAGGCACCAUUUUGUAUUUCUGUAUGCAAGUGAUAAUCUGCUUCUAGUACUGAGUGUCAUUGUGUGCUUUUAUUAAAAUUAUUUUUGCAUCAUU